rnacentral:ribozyme from 16 species
GAAAGCAACAAAAAGUAAUAACUUUCAUUGUUAUUUUCUAGC